UACGGAGGGCGCGAGCGUUGUCCGGAAUCACUGGGCGUAAAGGGCGCGUAGGCGGCCCUGGUAAGUCUGCGGUGAAAGCCCGGGGCUCAACCCCGGGUCGGCCGCGGGUACUGCCGGGCUGGAGUGCCGUAGGGGCAGGCGGAAUUCCGGGUGUAGCGGUGGAAUGCGUAGAUAUCAAGAGGAACACCUGCGGCGAAGGCGGGUUGCUGGGCCGACACUGACGCUGAGGCGCGAAAGCGUGGGGAGCGAACAGG
rnacentral:rRNA from 1 species